CCUAUGUUUUCAAUACAGAAGACUAUUUCUUCCGUGUGAGAAGAAAAAGGAGAAAGCGAUUAGGAGAUGGAUCAUCAUCACGUAAUCAGGCAAAAAUAGAACGAUUUCACAGAUUCUUAUCAGCAUAAACAUGAAGAAUUUAGCCUAGAAAAAACUGCUACCUAACUCAAGGUUUCUUGCGGGUUAACAUAAAAGGAGAAAGGCAGGCAAUGUAAACAAUGAAGGGAGGUUAGAUGUGUAAAUAGAGAUUUAAUUGUGUAAAAUGUUGUUUUGCAACUCAAGGUUAAAGUGUUUAUAACAUUACAAUCUCAAAUAGAAGGGAUGUUCUU
rnacentral:lncRNA from 1 species